UGCACAGGUGCUGCAUGGCUGUCGUCAGCUCGUGUCGUGAGAUGUUGGGUUAAGUCCCGCAACGAGCGCAACCCUUAUCCCUAGUUGCCAUCAGGUAAAGCUGGGAACUCUGGGGAGACUGCCGGUGAUAAACCGGAGGAAGGCGGGGAUGACGUCAAGUCCUCAUGGCCCUUACAUCCCGGGCUACACACGUGCUACAAUGGCAGGUACAGAGGGCUGCGAAGCCGCGAGGUGGAGCGAAUCCCAGAAAACCUGUCUCAGUCCGGAUUGAAGUCUGCAACUCGACUUCAUGAAGGCGGAAUCGCUAGUAACCGCGAAUCAGCAGGUCGCGGUGAAUACGUUCCCGGGCCUU
rnacentral:rRNA from 1 species